rnacentral:tRNA from 1 species
UCCUGGUUAGCUAAUUUGGUAAAGCGCUCUACUGGAAAUGGAGAGGUCCCGGGAUCGAGACCCGGACCAGGCA